rnacentral:rRNA from 1 species
GACGAACGCUGGCGGCGUGCUUAACACAUGCAAGUCGAACGAUGAAGCUGGAGCUUGCUCCGGUGGAUUAGUGGCGAACGGGUGAGUAACACGUGAGCAAUCUGCCCUUCACUCUGGGAUAACUGCGGGAAACUGUAGCUAAUACCGGAUACGAGACCUUGGGGCAUCCCAGGGCCUGGAAAGAAUUUCGGUGAAGGAUGAGCUCGCGGCCUAUCAGCUAGUUGGUGAGGUAAUGGCGCACCAAGGCGACGACGGGUAGACGGCCUGAGAGGGUGACCGGCCACACUGGGACUGAGACACGGCCCAGACUCCUACGGGAGGCAGCAGUGGGGUAUAUUGCACAAUGGGCGAAAGCCUGAUGCAGCAACGCCGCGUGAGGGAUGAAGGCCUUCGGGUUGUAAACCUCUUUUAGUAGGGAAGAAGCGCAAGUGACGGUACCUACAGAAAAAGCACCGGCUAACUACGUGCCAGCAGCCGCGGUAA